GUCCUAGCUGUAAACGGUGCACGUUUGCUGUGAGAGGAAUCGACCCCUUUCGUGGCGAAGCUAACGCGCUAAACGUGCCGCCUGGGGAGUACGGUCGCAAGAUUAAAACUCAAAGAAAUUGACGGGGGCCUGCACAAGCGGUGGAGUAUGUGGCUUAAUUCGAUGCAACGCGAAGAACCUUACCUGGCCUUGACAUGCACGUAGUAGGAGCCUGAAAGGGUAACGACCCCGCAAGGGGAGCGUGCACAGGUGCUGCAUGGCUGUCGU
rnacentral:rRNA from 1 species